UAAAUACAAAAAAAUCAGAUUUCUCAAUAAGGAAACCCGAAAAUUUCCAGAUUUUUCUCCUCCUCGCUGCCUUGGCUUCACGGCGUCGCCACGACUUCAUCCGGCCACCUAUGGCCAUGAAAUUGAUAUCAAUCUCUUCGCCUUGAAACCAGCUUUCCAUUCAUAUAUGUCUUGCAUCCUAUCAUUCACCAUAGACAACGAAUCGAAGCAAAGAAGGUCAGACCAUUUUUCAUGCAUUUCUUCAAAUUCCAGCCAACUCCGGCAAAGGUAGGAGGGGAGACCAACUGGGCUUUGUUCGCCUUGCCAUGCUCUAUAAACUCACCAAGUUUCACAUCUCGAUUCAACCCGAGGAAGACGAAUUUCAGAUUUGAGCGAUUUUGGGCGAUUUCGGCCUCUUUCUUCUUGAGGUGAUUGGCGGAUUGAUUUGGCGGACGAUUCGUAAAAUCGUUGUUGAGCUGUUUAGAAGACGCAACGGGAAUUAGAGCGGGUAUUCCUACAGGACAGGAGAACCAGGACGGUGAUCGUGCGGUUAGAGCAAUUGUUAGAGUUUUACAGCAAUUGUAAGUUGUGAGGUGUGUUAUGCUCAUUUGAGCUUUACAAUAUUGCUUGUGAGAGUGAAUUGUAAUAAUGAACUCGAAGUUUCGAGAUUUGGAUUUUGUAAUUGUAAUUAUUCAUGUUUCGGAUUUGAAUUUACUAUUCAAAAUUCGGGGCGUGACAUAGCUCAGGCAAGCACCCAUAAAGGGUGGGUAGUGCCACUGACUCUCAAGGGCAUGGAGGGGUUUCAGAGAGAGAAAAAUCUCUCUCCCCGAGUAAUAGCUCUUCUCGGUUUAUGGUAGUGAGAGAAAAAUUAGGAAGUUGGUGUUAAAUGUGGUCAAUUUUUUGUGAACGAGGAGCAUAAAUUUGAUUCGAGAAAACUAGUUCACCCAAUGGCAGCAUUAUGAUUUCUCAAAAAAAAAAAAAAAAAAA